ensembl:lncRNA
GUUUUUUUUUUUAUUAUUUAUUUUAUUUUUUAAAUAAAAUUGUUUACAGAUUUUUAGCAAAUCUGUUCCCUCAAUUUUUUUUUUUUUUUUUUUUAAUUUACAGAUUUUUAGCAAAUCUGUUCCCUCAGGGUUUUUUUUUUUUUUUUUUUUUUUUAGCAAAUCCGUUCCCUCCGUUUUUAUAAAUCCGUUCCCUCCGUUUUUAUAAAUCUGUUCCCUCCGUUUUUAUAAAUCCGUUCCCUCAGUGUUUAUAAAUCCGUUCCCUCAGUGUUUAUAAAUCUGUUCCCUCCGUUUUUAUAAAUCCGUUCCCUCAGUUUUUAUAAAUCUGUUCCCUCCUGUUUUAUAAAUCUGUUCCCUCCGUUUUUAUAAAUCUGUUCCUCCGUUUUUAUAAAUCCGUUCCCUCAGUUUUUAUAAAUCUGUUCCCUCCGUUUUUAUAAAUCUGUUCCCUCCG